rnacentral:piRNA from 1 species
CAUUUGACAUGGGAGGCUGGACUUG